rnacentral:rRNA from 1 species
UACGAAGGGGGCUAGCGUUGUUCGGAUUAACUGGGCGUAAAGGGUGCGUAGGCGGGUUUUUAAGUCAGGGGUGAAAUCCCGAGGCUCAACCUCGGAACUGCCUUUGAUACUGGAAAUCUUGAGUCUGGGAGAGGUGAGUGGAACUGCGAGUGUAGAGGUGAAAUUCGUAGAUAUUCGCAAGAACACCGGUGGCGAAGGCGGCUCACUGGACCACAACUGACGCUGAGGCGCGAAAGCUAGGGGAGCAAACAGG